rnacentral:rRNA from 1 species
CCUACGGGAGGCAGCAGUGAGGAAUAUUGGUCAAUGGGCGGGAGCCUGAACCAGCCAAGCCGCGUGCGGGAAGAAGGUACAGCGUAUCGUAAACCUCUUUUGUCAGGGAACAAAGGCGGGGACUAGUCCCCUGAUGAGGGUACCUGAAGAAAAAGCAUCGGCUAACUCCGUGCCAGCAGCCGCGGUAAUACGGAGGAUGCGAGCGUUAUCCGGAUUUAUUGGGUUUAAAGGGUGCGCAGGCGGCCUGUUAAGUCAGCGGUAAAAGCCCGGGGGUCAACCCCGGCGAGCCGUUGAAACUGGUGGGCUGGAGUUGGAGAGAGGUACGCGGAAUGCGCGGUGUAGCGGUGAAAUGCUUAGAUAUCGCGCAGAACCCCGAUUGCGAAGGCAGCGUACCGGCGCCACACUGACGCUGAGGCACGAAAGCGCGGGUAUCGAACAGGAUUAGAUACCCCAGUAGUC